rnacentral:rRNA from 1 species
UACGAAGGGGGCUAGCGUUGUUCGGAAUUACUGGGCGUAAAGCGCACGUAGGCGGAUAUUUAAGUCAGGGGUGAAAUCCCGGGGCUCAACCCCGGAACUGCCUUUGAUACUGGGUAUCUAGAGUCCAGAAGAGGUGAGUGGAAUUCCGAGUGUAGCGGUGAAAUGCGUAGAUAUCGGAAGGAACACCUGUGGCGAAGGCGGCUCACUGGUCCGGUACUGACGCUGAGGCGCGACAGCGUGGGGAGCAAACAGG